AAAAUGGAGAGUUUGAUCCUGGCUCAGGAUGAACGCUGGCGGUAUGCUUAACACAUGCAAGUCGAACGGUCUCUUCGGAGAUAGUGGCGGACGGGUGAG
rnacentral:rRNA from 1 species